rnacentral:rRNA from 1 species
UACAGAGGGUGCGAGCGUUGUCCGGAAUCACUGGGCGUAAAGGGCGCGUAGGCGGCUUGAUAAGGUUGCGGUGAAAGCCCGGGGCUCAACCCCGGGUCGGCCGUGGCAACUGUCGAGCUGGAGCACUGUAGAGGCAGGUGGAAUUCCGGGUGUAGCGGUGGAAUGCGUAGAGAUCCGGAAGAACACCGGUGGCGAAGGCGGCCUGCUGGGCAGUGGCUGACGCUGAGGCGCGAAAGCCAGGGGAGCAAACGGG